rnacentral:lncRNA from 1 species
UGGAGCCUCUGCCGUUACUGCUGGCGAGAGCAGAGGCUGGAAGAGACUCGGAGGAAGUUUGAGGAAGAAAAGUAAAAUUCUCCAUGCAGCUGUGGACUUCAGUUUCUCAACGGCACUGUCUGCUCUGGCUUCUCUUCGGGAAACAGGAAUAUGGGAUUCUCCUCCUCUCUGACAGUCAUCGUCAUCCUAGCUCAUGAGGGUGCCACCAGGGCAGAUAGAGUCAAAACCUGGACCCCGGCAGCCUUAGUGAUCUAGGCCCAUCCCCUCAUCCUCAAUGGGCCAAUUAAAGAGACAAGCAAUAUUAAA